rnacentral:rRNA from 1 species
UGAGGAAUAUUGGACAAUGGGCGCAAGCCUGAUCCAGCCAUGCCGCGUGCAGGAAGACGGCCCUAUGGGUUGUAAACUGCUUUUGUACGGGAAGAAACACCACUACGCGUAGUGGCUUGACGGUACCGUAAGAAUAAGGAUCGGCUAACUCCGUGCCAGCAGCCGCGGUAAUACGGAGGAUCCAAGCGUUAUCCGGAAUCAUUGGGUUUAAAGGGUCCGUAGGUGGACGAUUAAGUCAGGGGUGAAAUCUUGCAGCUCAACUGUAAAAUUGCCCUUGAUACUGGUUGUCUUGAAUCAUUGUGAAGUGGUUAGAAUAUGUAGUGUAGCGGUGAAAUGCAUAGAUAUUACAUAGAAUACCGAUUGCGAAGGCAGAUCACUAACGGUGCAUUGACACUGAUGGACGAAAGCGUGGGGAGCGAACAGG